rnacentral:ncRNA from 1 species
CUAUGAUGAAAAAUCAUGGCGGAAGGAG